GUCAUGCAUGGGGCCUUUGUGAAAAGUAGAGAAAACGGCAAUGAUCUGACUCAUCAUAUCCAUAACCACAAAGAUCCUUGGUAAGAGAUAGGUAGAUAAAAUUAAAUUAAAAAGAAUAAAUUAGAUAAGACAACAUUUCAAUAUCAGCAGCAGCAGCAUGCAUCGAUCUCAAUGACUCAAUGGAGAAGCGAAGAAAACCCCACAUGAAAAUGCAAAUAUAUUCACUAGCUAGUGAUGUUAAUUGGAUC
rnacentral:lncRNA from 1 species